GGUUAAGUUAGAAAGGGCGCACGGUGGAUGCCUUGACACUAGGAGUCGAUGAAGGACGGGACUAACGCCGAUAUGCUUCGGGGAGCUGUAAGUAAGCUUUGAUCCGAAGAUUUCCGAAUGGGGAAACCCACCAUACGUAAUGGUAUGGUAUCCUUAUCUGAAUACAUAGGGUAAGGAAGACAGACCCAGGGAACUGAAACAUCUAAGUACCUGGAGGAAGAGAAAGCAAAUGCGAUUUCCUGAGUAGCGGCGAGCGAAACGGAACAUAGCCCAAACCAAGAGGCUUGCCUCUUGGGGUUGUAGGACAUUCUAUACGGAGUUACAAAGGAACGAGGUAGACGAAGCGACCUGGAAAGGUCCGUCGUAGAGGGUAACAACCCCGUAGUCGAAACUUCGUUCUCUCUUGAAUGUAUCCUGAGUACGGCGGAACACGUGAAAUUCCGUCGGAAUCUGGGAGGACCAUCUCCCAAGGCUAAAUACUACCUAGUGAUCGAUAGUGAACCAGUACCGUGAGGGAAAGGUGAAAAGCACCCCGGAAGGGGAGUGAAAGAGAUCCUGAAACCGUGUGCCUACAAAUAGUCAGAGCCCGUUAACGGGUGAUGGCGUGCCUUUUGUAGAAUGAACCGGCGAGUUACGAUCCCGUGCGAGGUUAAGCUGAAGAGGCGGAGCCGCAGCGAAAGCGAGUCUGAAUAGGGCGUUUAGUACGUGGUCGUAGACCCGAAACCAGGUGAUCUACCCAUGUCCAGGGUGAAGUUCAGGUAACACUGAAUGGAGGCCCGAACCCACGCACGUUGAAAAGUGCGGGGAUGAGGUGUGGGUAGCGGAGAAAUUCCAAUCGAACCUGGAGAUAGCUGGUUCUCCCCGAAAUAGCUUUAGGGCUAGCCUUAAGUGUAAGAGUCUUGGAGGUAGAGCACUGAUUGGACUAGGGGUCCUCAUCGGAUUACCGAAUUCAGUCAAACUCCGAAUGCCAAUGACUUAUCCUUAGGAGUCAGACUGCGAGUGAUAAGAUCCGUAGUCAAAAGGGAAACAGCCCAGACCGCCAGCUAAGGUCCCAAAGUGUGUAUUAAGUGGAAAAGGAUGUGGAGUUGCUUAGACAACUAGGAUGUUGGCUUAGAAGCAGCCACCAUUUAAAGAGUGCGUAAUAGCUCACUAGUCGAGUGACUCUGCGCCGAAAAUGUACCGGGGCUAAAUACACCACCGAAGCUGCGGAUUGAUACCAAUGGUAUCAGUGGUAGGGGAGCGUUCUAAGGACAGUGAAGUCAGACCGUAAGGACUGGUGGAGUGCUUAGAAGUGAGAAUGCCGGUAUGAGUAGCGAAAGACGGGUGAGAAUCCCGUCCACCGAAUGCCUAAGGUUUCCUGAGGAAGGCUCGUCCGCUCAGGGUUAGUCAGGACCUAAGCCGAGGCCGACAGGCGUAGGCGAUGGACAACAGGUUGAUAUUCCUGUACCACCUCUUUAUCGUUUGAGCAAUGGAGGGACGCAGAAGGAUAGAAGAAGCGUGCGAUUGGUUGUGCACGUCCAAGCAGUUAGGCUGAUAAGUAGGCAAAUCCGCUUAUCAUAAAGGCUGAGCUGUGAUGGGGAAGCUCCUUAUGGAGCGAAGUCUUUGAUUCCCCGCUGCCAAGAAAAGCUUCUAGCGAGAUAAAAGGUGCCUGUACCGCAAACCGACACAGGUAGGCGAGGAGAGAAUCCUAAGGUGUGCGAGAGAACUCUGGUUAAGGAACUCGGCAAAAUGACCCCGUAACUUCGGGAGAAGGGGUGCUUUCUUAACGGAAAGCCGCAGUGAAUAGGCCCAAGCGACUGUUUAGCAAAAACACAGCUCUCUGCGAAGCCGUAAGGCGAAGUAUAGGGGGUGACACCUGCCCGGUGCUGGAAGGUUAAGGAGAGGGGUUAGCGUAAGCGAAGCUCUGAACUGAAGCCCCAGUAAACGGCGGCCGUAACUAUAACGGUCCUAAGGUAGCGAAAUUCCUUGUCGGGUAAGUUCCGACCCGCACGAAAGGUGUAACGAUUUGGGCACUGUCUCAACCAGAGACUCGGUGAAAUUAUAGUACCUGUGAAGAUGCAGGUUACCCGCGACAGGACGGAAAGACCCCGUGGAGCUUUACUGUAGCCUGAUAUUGAAUUUUGGUACAGUUUGUACAGGAUAGGCGGGAGCCAUUGAAACCGGAGCGCUAGCUUCGGUGGAGGCGCUGGUGGGAUACCGCCCUGACUGUAUUGAAAUUCUAACCUACGGGUCUUAUCGACCCGGGAGACAGUGUCAGGUGGGCAGUUUGACUGGGGCGGUCGCCUCCUAAAGUGUAACGGAGGCGCCCAAAGGUUCCCUCAGAAUGGUUGGAAAUCAUUCGUAGAGUGCAAAGGCAUAAGGGAGCUUGACUGCGAGACCUACAAGUCGAGCAGGGACGAAAGUCGGGCUUAGUGAUCCGGUGGUUCCGCAUGGAAGGGCCAUCGCUCAACGGAUAAAAGCUACCCCGGGGAUAACAGGCUUAUCUCCCCCAAGAGUCCACAUCGACGGGGAGGUUUGGCACCUCGAUGUCGGCUCAUCGCAUCCUGGGGCUGUAGUCGGUCCCAAGGGUUGGGCUGUUCGCCCAUUAAAGCGGUACGCGAGCUGGGUUCAGAACGUCGUGAGACAGUUCGGUCCCUAUCCGUCGUGGGCGUAGGAAAUUUGAGAGGAGCUGUCCUUAGUACGAGAGGACCGGGAUGGACGCACCGCUGGUGUACCAGUUGUUCUGCCAAGGGCAUAGCUGGGUAGCUAUGUGCGGAAGGGAUAAGUGCUGAAAGCAUCUAAGCAUGAAGCCCCCCUCAAGAUGAGAUUUCCCAUAGCGUAAGCUAGUAAGAUCCCUGAAAGAUGAUCAGGUUGAUAGGUUCGAGGUGGAAGCAUGGUGACAUGUGGAGCUGACGAAUACUAAUAGAUCGAGGACUUAACCAU
rnacentral:rRNA from 1 species